UUGUGAGGUUAAGCGACUAAGCGUACACGGUGGAUGCCCUGGCAGUCAGAGGCGAUGAAGGACGUGCUAAUCUGCGAUAAGCGUCGGUAAGGUGAUAUGAACCGUUAUAACCGGCGAUUUCCGAAUGGGGAAACCCAGUGUGUUUCGACACACUAUCAUUAACUGAAUCCAUAGGUUAAUGAGGCGAACCGGGGGAACUGAAACAUCUAAGUACCCCGAGGAAAAGAAAUCAACCGAGAUUCCCCCAGUAGCGGCGAGCGAACGGGGAGCAGCCCAGAGCCUGAAUCAGUAUGUGUGUUAGUGGAAGCGUCUGGAAAGGCGCGCGAUACAGGGUGACAGCCCCGUACACAAAAAUGCACAUGCUGUGAGCUCGAUGAGUAGGGCGGGACACGUGGUAUCCUGUCUGAAUAUGGGGGGACCAUCCUCCAAGGCUAAAUACUCCUGACUGACCGAUAGUGAACCAGUACCGUGAGGGAAAGGCGAAAAGAACCCCGGCGAGGGGAGUGAAAAAGAACCUGAAACCGUGU
rnacentral:rRNA from 1 species